rnacentral:lncRNA from 1 species
AUGGAGACACACGUCAACAGCACGGAGACACGCGACGAUACACGGAGACACGCAAAGACGCGUCAACAGCACGGAGACACGCUGCGAUACACAGAGACAUGCAAAGACACAGAGACACGCAUCAACAGCACGGAGACACGCGUCAACAGCAAGAAGACAAGCCUCAACAACACAAAAACAAGCAUCAACAAAGGGGGGACACGCGUCAACAACACGCAGACAAGCAAAGGCAUGGAGACACACGACAACCACACAGAGACUUACAAAGACACAUGGAAACGACACGGAGACACGCAAAGGCAUGGAGACACAGGUCAACAACACAAAGACAAGCGUCAACUGCACGGAGACACGCGUCCAAGACACAGAGACGUGUCAACGACACAGAGACACAUAUCAACGACACAAAGACAAGCAUCAACGAAACAAAGACGCAUAAACAACACAAAGACAAGCGUCAACGACACAAAGACAAGCGUCAACGACAAGGAGAGACGUGUCAAUGAUACGGAGACACGCAUCAACGAGAAGGAGACAAACGUCAACGACACAGAGACAAGCGUCAACGACACGGAGACACACGUCAACGACACGAAGACAAGCAUCAACGACACAGAGACACGCGUCAAUGACACAAAGACAAGCAUAAACGACACAGAGACACGCGUCAACGACACGAAGACAAGCGUCAACGACACAGAGACACACGUCAACGACACGAAGACAAGCGUCAACGACACAGAGACACACGUCAACGACACGAAGACAAGCGUCAAUGACACAGAGACACGAGUCAACGACACGAAGACAAGCGUCAACGACACAGAGACACGAGUCAACGACACGAAGACACGAGUCAACGACACGAAGACAAGCAUCAACGACACGAAGACAAGCGUCAACGACACGGAGACACACGUCAACGACACGAAGACAAGCGUCAACGACACGGAGACACACGUCAACGACACGAAGACAAGCGUCAACGACACAGAGACAAGCGUCAACGACACAGAGACACAAGUCAACGACACAGAGACAAGCGUCAACGACACGAAGACAAGCGUCAACGACACGGAGACACGAGUCAACGACACGAAGACAAGCGUCAACGACACGAAGACAAGCGUCAACAACACGGAGGCCCGCGUCAACAACACGGAGACCCGCGUCAACAACACGGAGACCCGCGUCAACAACAUGGAAACCUGCGUCAACAACAUGGAGACACGUGUCAAUAACAUGGAGACACGCCUCAACAACAUGGAGACACGCCUCAACAACAUGGAGACAUGCAUCAAUGACACAAAAACACGGGUCAAUGACACAGAGACACACAAAGACACACAUCAACAACACGAAGACACACAUCAACGACACAGAGACACACAUCAACGACACAGAGACACACAAAGACAGGCAUCAACAACACAGAGACAGCUGUCAACGACACGGAGACAGGCGUCAACAACAGGAAGACAUGCAAAGACACUGAGACACACUUCAACAGCACGGAGACAUGCGUCAGCGUCACGGAGACAUCCAUCAACAACACGGAGACACUCAAAGACACGAGUCAACGACAUUGAGACACGAAAAGAGAAGCGUCAUAGACACAGAGACACGCAAAGAUAUGAGUCAACAGUGCGGAGACACACAAGACACGCAAAGACACUUGUCAACGACCCUGAGACAUACAUCAACAACAGAGAGACAUGGGUCAACGACACGGACACACGCGACGAUACACGAAGACAGGCGUCAAUGACACGGAGACACUCAUCCACAACACGGAGACACGCAAAGACACGCUUCAACAACACAGAGACACGCGUCAAUGACACAAAGACAAGCGUCAACUACACAGAGACACGCCUCAACAUGACGAAGACACACAUUAAUGACACAGAGACAAGCAUCAACAACAAGGAGAGACGUGUCAAUGAUACGGAGACACGCAUCAACAAGAACAGACCCGCAGAGACAUGCAAAGAAACGCGUUAA